ACGCUGACCCUCUUCCCGCAUCAGACGGAGCUGAUCUCGCCGGCCCACUACGGCACCAGCGUAGCCGAGGAGAUCCUGAACGUGCCGCUCAGCAUGACGCAGAAGCACCGGCUCGUUCAGCAGCUGGGGAGUCUGGACGGAGCCGUGCAGGCGGGCCUCAUCCACCGGCAGUGGGGCGACACCAGCGCCCCUGGCGGCGGCGGC